UACAGAGGGGGCAAGCGUUGUUCGGAAUUACUGGGCGUAAAGGGCGCGUAGGCGGCCUGUUAAGUCGAACGUGAAAUCCCCGGGCUCAACCCGGGAACUGCGUCCGAUACUGGCAGGCUUGAAUCCGGGAGAGGGAUGUGGAAUUCCAGGUGUAGCGGUGAAAUGCGUAGAUAUCUGGAAGAACACCAAUGGCGAAGGCAAUGUUCUGGCUCGUUUCUGACGCUCAGGUGCGAAAGCCAGGGGAGCGAACGGG
rnacentral:rRNA from 1 species